rnacentral:piRNA from 1 species
AGGAAAAAAAGAACCAUUUGGCUA